CUACGGGUUGCUGCAGCUGAGGAAAUUUUACAAUGCUCGAAAGAGUGAUAAAAUAAACCAGAGUGUUGUUCUUAGAACAACUUUUGUUUGAUGUAAAAAGUCAGACGAAUAAGGACUGGGUAAGACCGGUGCCAGCCGCCGCGGUAAUACCGGCGGUCCAAGUUGCUUCCACAUUUAUUGGGUCUAAAACAUUCGUAGCUUGUUUUGUAAGUCUCUUGUUAAAUUUCAUAUCUCAAAUAUGAAGCUGCAAGAGAUACUAUAUUACUAGAGACCGGAAGACGCAAGGAGUACAAUUGAGUGUAGCGGUAAAAUGUGUUAAUCUUAAUUGGACUAACAAUGGCGAAGGCACCUUGCGAGUACGGAUCUGACAGUGAGGGAUGAAGGCUAGGGGCGCAAAAGGGAUUAGAUACCCGAGUAGUC
rnacentral:rRNA from 1 species